rnacentral:lncRNA from 1 species
GUCGCGGGUGUAGGGUGGCGGCGCUCCGCCUUUCACCGACGCACCUGGGAGAAACAGACCGGAGGACGCGGGUGGCGCGGAGCACGAGAAACAACGAGUUUCUGUCUAGAUCGUGGGGGACCCAAGCCCGGGGUUGCGUCCAAGGUCGGGGAUGGAGAGGACGCGACCCCCGCGGCAGUCGAGAUGGCCUUUUUAAAAUUCUAUAUUUGAGAAGGAGUCUCGCGCUGUCGCCCAGGCUGGAGCGCAAUGGCGCGAAAUCGGCUCAUUGCAGCCUCGACGUCCAGGACUCGAGCGAUCCUCCCGCCUCAGCCUCUCGAGAAGGAGUGGCCAGAAGGCUCCUCUCCAGGCCUCACAGAGGGAAACACUGGUCUAGUGAGAGACCUGCGUCCUGCCCAUCAGGACCGAAGCGGCACGCGUGAGGAUCCUGCAGGCCAAGAGACAACAGCGAUUACAAACCCCAGUCCCAGCCUUGCAGCUGACCUUGCAGGUGACGCCCUGCCUGGGUGUCUCGGUGCAGCUGCACAUCAGGGGCCUCUGCUGGACAGAAGCUCUGAGUCCACACUUGGCCCCCAGGCGCUGGAGCUGGAGCACUGCCACGAGAGGGGAUGCUGCCGUGGCUGCGCCAGCUUCAGCCCUUUCCCUGCACCGAGAUGUCCCAGUGAGCGGCUGGGUGCUCACAGUUCCCGUUGGGCCAUCAGAGGAAGAUCAAAGAUCAACCCUCCCCCAUGGGCUCCUGCCUGCCUGCCAGGUUUUCCUGUCUCCUGGAGGACAAGGAUGAGGGCUUUCCACUUGAGUCUCCCUGGUGGAGCCCAGCUCCUGACAUACCUGGUAAAAGUUCUCAAGAGAAGAACAUGGAGGAGGAAUGUGGAUAACAACCCUGGCUGCCUGUGUGUUCCAAGCUAGGAAGAUGUAAUGUCCCCACAAACGGGGUAAAUGGCUUGCCUGCGUCACAGCUGUCUCAAGCCCAGGCCCUGGGUGCCAGCCCAAGCCCAAGGACUAGGUCCAGAGCCACACAGCGCCAGGCCACAUCCGCCUCACCUGGGACCUUUUGUGGGGUACAGUCUCCGGCCCCACCCAGACCUGCUGAAGGAGAGACCCCAUGGCAAGGACUCAGCCACCUGCAGUUUCAUAAGCCCCCAGUGGGUUCCUAGGCAUGAAGACCACCGGUUAGAGGCUGAACUGGCAGGAACCUGUCUCCAGCCCCUUCUCACCCCAGCCGGGCCCUGCCUCAGAGGCAGCACCCAGGACGUGGCCAUGACCCGUGGACUCCACUCAAUCCCUCUUCUCCAGGAGCCAUGCAAAGUGUCAGCCAGCCAGGCCCCUGGAAGGCAGUCAUCACCUCUUAAGGCAUUGCGGGUGUCGGUCCUGCAACUGCCAGGUGCAGCACACGACCCAUGUCCGGUGUUCGAUAGCAGGGAGCCAUGACCUGGCAACGAUUCCACGCUCAAAGGGGCACCCGGGGGGCCCUGGGUCGGGGCGGAUCAGCUUUCCCUGGGCACAUCUGCCUCAUUCCAGAUCUCCAGGGCUCAUGUCUGUGACAGGGAGGGAAGGCUCUGCCCUGGCCUUCCGUCAGCUCUGCCAGUGCAGGCUGGGCAGCCUGGGCUUUAGAGCUGGCUUCUGCCCACACUUUCUCCGUGAAAGGAAAACAACUAUGAGUCUGCCAAACGCAUCUCAGAUGCGUUUUAAAAAAUUCUGGUCCCCGCUCUCUGUCCCAUCAUCUGCCUCGGGGACUUCCUCUCUCCGUGGUUCUCACCCCAUACUCUGUCACUGCCACAUUUUCACCUGGGCCUGGCCUUUGUCUCCACCUGAAACUCCUGAAAAUCUUGAAAUGGAAAAAAAAAAAAAAAAAA